rnacentral:lncRNA from 1 species
AUUUAAAAAUCACCGCAGCUUUUUAAUAUUGUCCCAACAAGGCUGUGCAAGAAACAAUCAGGAAAGCUCAGCAGCAUAAAACUAUGAGAAAACUGGGUCUGAGAAUCCAGAUGUCCUGAGUGAGUAAAGGGAAAAUUUUCACUUCUUCCUAUGGAAGCCUGUCACCCCCCAACUCCAUCCUAGGCUGAGGAAGUCUGCGUUCUUCUCUCACGGAGCUGGAGAACCUUUCAAGUGAUUGGCCUAAGAACAGGCAGGAGACGCGAUCUGGACCAAUCAGAAACUUACAUUGAGGUAUGUAUAUGUGCGUGUUGGGAGAAAAAAAUUACUUUAUUUUUCCUUCCAGUUUGCAAAGCUGGGCUAAGAGCAGAGUUUGUCACAACCAAACCUAGAGCUGGAGAAAAGGGGAAGUGGAGAGGCAACCGAAAAUACCAUGAGGUCUCUGAAUCUACACCUCUUCUUUCUAGUUAUUGGAAUCAAUGCAUUCCAGCUUUUUGCUUCAACCAGAAUGAGUUUUGUAUCCCUGGUAACCCUGCCUAAUGCAAGGACUCACUCAGAUUUCCAGAUUCUUAUCUUAGUGUGUUGUCCUUUAGGUCAGCACUUUUCAAGAGCCAUUGCCAUCAUUUAUUCAUUCGUCAAAAUUAUUUUGGACAGAUUCCGGGGUGAAGCGGUCAUGCUAAGAGAAUAACAAACAAGCAUGUGGCCAGUGUUAUGAGGGCUUCAGAUCCAGUCAGGGGUGCAAAAUGAGAAAAAGCUAAUCAAGAAAAUAAAACAGC